rnacentral:rRNA from 1 species
UACGGGGGGGGCAAGCGUUGUCCGGAUUUAUUGGGCGUAAAGAGCGUGUAGGCGGCCAGGUAGGUCUGCUGUGAAAACUCGAGGCUUAACCUCGAGCUGUCGGCGGAAACCAUCUGGCUAGAGUCCGGAAGAGGAGAAUGGAAUUCCCGGUGUAGCGGUGAAAUGCGUAGAUAUCCGGAGGAACACCAGUGGCGAAAGCGGUCUCCUGGACAGCCCCUGACGCUCAAGCGCGAAAGCGAGGGGAGCGAACGGG